AAUACAAGUACACUACUUUUUCCUUCACAAUAAGCCAAAACUUAACAAUAGCAGCUAUUUUGACCUCAAUCUAUAGAGCUACUAAUGCAACUGGCUUCUAACAUUAACACUCCUACUGUCAUGAUACUUGGCUUUGAACCUCCUGAAUAGCUGUGAAAGAGGCUUCUUACAACACGAUCAACUCGACUCAAGGUCUGGCGCUAAUAGAAGUUGCUUACGUUCCUGGUAGCGAAGGAAAGGAGCUGAAAGUCACUUGACUGUAAGGCGAGAGGGCUGAUGGCUUUAUGUUCAUCACUCUUGAUACACAGUGGAUACACUUCAUUUCCCUUCCUUUGAGUUGAUUACUGCUGGAUUACCGAAAGCGAAGAUGACUGGACUAAGGAUAUUGCGGGUGAGGGAUAACAGAAGUGUAACAUCCUAAUCAAGACUCUUGUUUAGUUUAUUGUUGCUGCUCAAGUCUCUUGAUCAAAUCAGCUUUUUCUUCCUCUGGCAAAUCGUUGAAUAUGAAUACUGAUUUGUCUCCUAUAUCAUCCUUUAUAGGCUGAGUGAACUUCCUCCCAGCAAAGACCACAAACAGUGCCAACCAUGUGCUCAAUAGGGUAAUCUUUACUCCGUCAUCCAUAAUACCAGUCAGGUGUCCCAGUAGGAGAGAAGGGAUGACAAAUGUCAGAAGACCAGCUUCCAACUUUCCAUAGCAAAGUCCUUCCUUGAACACAAGUCCUGUCAAUGAUGCAAAUAGUGGUCCGACAAACCAAACAGCUAUUGGAUUCUCGAUAACAUAUUGAACUAGAUUCAUGCCAGCUGGGUGAGCAAGGGUAGAAUAUGUUGCCAAUGAUCCGAUAGCACCCAGGAACCAUAAAGCUUGAAGAGAGCGUUUAAUUUCAGUCACAUAAAUGUGAAUAAGAAAUAAUGACAGGCCAAGUCCACACGAUCCAAUUGCAUAAAACAAAUCAAGGUUUUUCUCAAUCAAGUUACUCAUAACUGAAUCAUUGGGAAGCAAAGCCGCAGAAGACGCAAGAACGAAUGAAGCAGCUGCAGUUACUAAUCCUGAUCUGUACAAAAUUACCUCUCGAAUAUCAGAGUCUUCGAUUGUCCAAGGGCCAUAAACGCCUUGAUAAAUUGUAGGUUGGAUCGUCUGGGACUGUGUCUCUGGCUGUGAGCCUUCUCCCAGAGCCCUGCACUUGCAGUCAAAAUUGGACGAUAUUAGGGGUUUGCAUUUGCCUAGCUGAAAUUUAGACCGCGCUUUUCUAGUAGGAGGCGAGAUGCUAAGUGAAAGUGAAAUGUAUGCUGAUGCCGAUGCUGUUACUGAAUUCAUGCUCCCUGGCUAGCUGUUGUCGAUCAAUGAACUCAAAAACUGUUUCCCCUUGUUCAUCUACUCCGGAAAAAUCAUGGCUAAAAUUGGACAAUUUUGGUCGAUGAACAAGAAUGCAAAGGCUGG
rnacentral:misc_RNA from 1 species